rnacentral:rRNA from 1 species
CUACGGGGCGCACCAGGCGCGAAACCUUUACAAUGUACGAAAGUGCGAUAAGGGAAUCCUAAGUGCUUAUGCUUAGCAUAGGCUUUUGUUAAGAGUAAAUAUCUUAGCGAAUAAGUGGUGGGUAAGACGCGGUGCCAGCCGCCGCGGUAACACCUGCGCCACGAGUGGGGAUCGGUUUUAUUGGGUCUAAAGCGUUCGUAGCUGGUUUAGUAAAUUUUUUGUGAAAUUGUUAAGCUCAACUUAACAGUAUGCAGAAACGACUGCUAGACUUGAGACCGGGAGGAGUUAGGAGUAUUCUUGGGGGAGCGGUAAAAUGUUAUAAUCCCGAGAGGACUACCUGUGGCGAAGGCGCCUAACCAGAACGGUUCUGACAGUGAGGAACGAAAGCUAGGGGAGCAAAACGGAUUAGAUACCCCUGUAGUC